rnacentral:rRNA from 1 species
UACGUAGGGUGCGAGCGUUUGUCCGGAAUUAUUGGGCGUAAAGAGCUUGUAGGCGGUUUGUCGCGUCUGCUGUGAAAAAUCCGGGGCUCAACCCCGGACUUGCAGUGGGUACGGGCAGACUAGAGUGUGGUAGGGGGAGGACUGGAAGUUCCUGGUGGUAGCGGUGGGAAUGCGCAGAUAAUCAGGAGGAACACCGAUGGCGAAGGCAGGUCUCUGGGCCACUACUGACGUGAGAAGCGAAAGCAUGGGGAGCGAACAGG